UUUUAUUGUUGAAGCUUCGGCCGAUUCAAUAAGAGGAAAGCGGCAAACGGCGUAGUAAUGCGUAGGUACGUACCCUCAGGUUGGGAAUAGCCACGGGAAACUGUGGGUAAUGCCCAAUAAUAUCUGCGGAUCAAAGGUGUGAUUCCGCCUGAGGAGCGGCUUACGUGAUAUUAGCUUGUUGGUGGGGUAAUGGCCUACCAAGGCGACGAUGUCUAGGGGGUGUGAGAGCAUGGCCCCCACGACCGGAACUGAGACACUGUCCGGACACCUACGGGUGGCUGCAGUCGAGAAUCUUCCGCAAUGGGCGAAAGCCUGACGGAGCGACGCCGCGUGCGGGAUGAAGGCCCUUGGGUUGUAAACCGCUGUCAGAGGGGAUGAAAUCAUGGUUGGCUAUCCUUCCAUGUUGACAGAGCCUCAAAGGAAGCACGGGCUAAGUACGUGCCAGCAGCCGCGGUAACACGUACUGUGCGAACGUUAUUCGGAAUCACUGGGCUUAAAGGGUACGUAGGCGGUUUAUCAAGUCAGGUGUGAAAUGCCUGAGCUCAACUGAGGCACUGCGCUUGAAACUGAUAAACUAGAGUAUUCCAGGGGUGUGCGGAACUGCCAGUGGAGCGGUGAAAUGCGUUGAUAUUGGCAGGAACACCGGAGGCGAAGGCGGCACACUGGGGGAUAACUGACGCUGAGGUACGAAAGCCAGGGUAGCGAACGGGAUUAGAUACCCCGGUAGUCCUGGCUGUAAACGAUGAGCACUGGGCGAGAGGAAGUUCGCUUCUUUUUGCCGUAGCGAAAGCAUUAAGUGCUCCGCCUGGGGGAGUAUGGUCGCAAGGCUGAAACUCAAAGGAAUUGACGGGGGCUCACACAAGCGGUGGAUGAUGUGGCUUAAUUCGAGGCAACGCGAAGAACCUUAUCCUGGACUUGACAUGCUUGGAUGGCUCGCCCGAAAGGGAUGAGUCUGCCUUCGGGUGAAACUUGCACAGGUGCUGCAUGGCUGUCGUCAGCUCGUGUCGUGAGACGUCGCGUUAAGUCGCUUAACGAG
rnacentral:rRNA from 1 species